UCUAGGGCCUAUUUCCGGCACGGGGAGCCCCAUCCAAUCUGUACCAAAGCGACUUGAACAGCUUCCACUUGGCCCGCUGCGCCGAAUCUAGAGCUUCUACUUCCAUCAUCGCCCAUAGAACGAUCCCCGUCGCCGGAUGGGCAAAGUACCCUCAGAAGCAACGGAGGAGAUGUGAAUCCGUCAUCUUCCCUCGCACUAGGUAGUCCUCAACGUUGAUUUGUUUGGUGAGAGGGAACCACUUGUCUAUCUCCCGGAGCCUCCGCUCCAACUGCAACUCGCCAUGAGCUAGCACCUCGAUCUGCUCCUCCCUCCUCGGCAUAUGACCUCUCACUGCUACGGGCCCCCUCAACUAGAUCUGGAGACGAAGAGGAUGAGUGGAAGAAGUGGGGUGGAGGAAGGAAUGGGAGGAUUUGCCUCUCGGGGCGGCAGCCUGUAGGGGGUAACCGCGCGUCUCCAGUCACUCCGCCAUUAACCACCUCAGGCUCUGCAUCGUGUCGCGGCUCGCAUCAGUUGUGCACCUCACCUAGUCGCGCAACAUGGCACGGGAACUGGACCUUAUCGCCCUCGAUCAGUGUCACAUCAUCACCCCACCGCUUCGUGUCCACCAUGUGCGCCUCCAAGUCGAGGAGGAACCCCGGCCGGAACUUCAACAACUCCAGCGACCUCAGGUCGGGGACAAAUACGCAAAGUUGUGGGCGGCAUAUAUCCAUCUUAUGAUUCUCUCUCUAAUUUUUUAGCAUGUUCUAUCAAGUGAAUCUAUACGUACACCAAAGUGUGUAGUGAUUGUAGAUUGGUCGGCACGCACUAGGCCCUCAUCGCUUGCACCUUCAAUACUUGACGAUCAACACCAAUGUUUGUAGUCGGACCACAAGAUAAAGUAGUAGUGCCACCUCCAGCUCAUACGAGUUUGGUAUUCAAG
rnacentral:lncRNA from 1 species